rnacentral:rRNA from 1 species
UGGGGGAUUUUGCACAAUGGGCGCAAGCCUGAUGCAGCGACGCCGCGUGAGGGAUGAAGGCCUUCGGGUUGUAAACCUCUUUCGCUGGGUUGAAAGGCCAUGCUUUGGGUGUGGUUGAUUUGAACUGGUAAAGAAGUACCGGCUAACUACGUGCCAGCAGCCGCGGUAAUACGUAGGGUACUAGCGUUGUCCGGAUUUAUUGGUCGUAAAGGGCUUGUAGGUGGUUUGUCGCGUCUGUCGUGAAAUCCUGUGGCUUAACCAUGGGCUUGCCGUGGGUACCGGCAGGCUUGAGUGCGGUAGGGGAGACCGGAAUUCCUGGUGUAGCGGUGGAAUGCGCAGAUAUCAGGAGGAACACCGGUGGCGAAGGCGGGUCUCUGGGCCGUUACUGACACUGAGGAGCGAAAGCGUGGGGAGCGAACAGG